GCCUUGUAAGUCACAUAAUAGAACACUGGCUUUCAUCCUUAGCCCUUACAAAUGGCAACAGAGCUAUUUUUAGCCUCUGUGGACAGCUCCAUAGGGAGAAUGAACUAUUCGUCAACGUCACCCAUAUUUUACUGAAGAUUUUGAAGGUAUUCCAAUGUGACUGACUACUACGUUUCCUCACAUGUGUGCUGCUGUAUCUGAGAUCACCAUGUUUUCAAUUAUCUCAUAUGAACCUGCCAAGGAUUGGAGGAGGCUUGCCCUGAGGACUGAGCUGCUUGUAGGAGAUGAACAGAAGUUUUGAAAACACAACAGCAAGAUGGUGAGGAAAUUUAAAUCAAAGAAGGUGCAUACUUGGCUUCAUACACUGAAGGCACAGCAAGCCUGAGACUGGGACAUAGGGACAUUGACUUCCUUUUCAAUGUGAUGCUCCAUACACAGCCCUACCUGCUAUAAAUGACGAUGCUCUAUUUUU
rnacentral:lncRNA from 1 species